UAGAAAAGAGAGAGGACUUCUUUGAUUUGGGAGCCUAGGUGUAUAACUCAGGUCCCAGAAUUGACUCUUCCAUGAAAUGGAGAAGCUCCAGGCAGCCUCGUUAGUGAUUCUAUGGCUUCAGCUUGGUUGGGUAAUCAGCCAGAAGGAAGAACAGAGUACUGUGCCGGUGACGGUUCAGGAGGAUGAGAGAUGUUCUCUGAACUGCAGUUAUACUAGUAGUAUCACCAAUUUACAGUGGUAUAGACAAGAUCCUGGGAAGGGCCUUGUCUUCCUGAUGCUAAUACGUUCAAAUGAGAAAGAAAAAGUGAGUGAGAGAUUCACAGCCAGACUUGAUACCACCAAUAAGCACAGCUCCCUCCACCUGCUAGCCUGCAAGCCUGAAGACUCAGCCACCUACUUCUGUGCAGUAGACACACAGUGUUUCCCAACCACCAGCAGCCGGUACCUAAACUCAUGCUCACAAUGUAGGGGGGCGGGUAGACUGUGGAAGUUUAACCUGCACUGUACGAGGUGGGUGUUCAAGGCAGCAGAAACCGGAGGCCAGAAGACUGUAGAUCGUUGGCCCAGCUGGCAGAGUUGGCGGCCACCGAUUUUCUGGAUCUCUCUCCUGGUUUCACUCACAAUGACGUGA